CUCCUAAAAGGUAACGGAGGCGCUCAAAGGUUCCCUCAGAAUGGUUGGAAAUCAUUCAUAGAGUGUAAAGGCAUAAGGGAGCUUGACUGCGAGACCUACAAGUCGAGCAGGGUCGAAAGACGGACUUAGUGAUCCGGUGGUUCCGCAUGGAAGGGCCAUCGCUCAACGGAUAAAAGCUACCCCGGGGAUAACAGGCUUAUCUCCCCCAAGAGUUCACAUCGACGGGGAGGUUUGGCACCUCGAUGUCGGCUCAUCGCAUCCUGGGGCUGUAGUCGGUCCCAAGGGUUGGGCUGUUCGCCCAUUAAAGCGGUACGCGAGCUGGGUUCAGAACGUCGUGAGACAGUUCGGUCCCUAUCCGUCGUGGGCGUAGGAAAUUUGAGAGGAGCUGUCCUUAGUACGAGAGGACCGGGAUGGACAUACCUCUGGUGUACCAGUUGUCGUGCCAACGGCAUAGCUGGGUAGCUAUGUGUGGACGGGAUAAGUGCUGAAAGCAUCUAAGCAUGAAGCCCCCCUCAAGAUGAGAUUUCCCAACUUCGGUUAUAAGAUCCCUCAAAGAUGAUGAGGUUAAUAGGUUCGAGGUGGAAGCAUGGUGACAUGUGGAGCUGACGAAUACUAAUCGAUCGAAGACUUAAUCAA
rnacentral:rRNA from 1 species